CCAGACUCCUACGGGAGGCAGCAGUGGGGGAUAUUGCACAAUGGGGGGAACCCUGAUGCGGCGACGCCGCGUGGGUGAAGAAGCGCCUCGGCGCGUAAAGCCCUGUCAGCAGGGAAGAAAAUGACGGUACCUGAAGAAGAAGCCCCGGCUAACUACGUGCCAGCAGCCGCGGUAAUACGUAGGGGGCAAGCGUUAUCCGGAUUUACUGGGUGUAAAGGGGGCGCAGACGGCGAUGAAAGCCAGGAGUGAAAGCCCGGGGCCCACCCCCGGGACUGCCCUUGGAACUGUGUGGCUAGAGUGCGGGAGGGGCAGGCGGAAUUCCUGGUGUAGCGGUGAAAUGCGUAUAUAUCAGGAGGAACACCGGUGUCGAAGGCGGCCUGCUGGACUGCAACU
rnacentral:rRNA from 1 species